UGACUUCCUUAGGAAAAUUGCAAAAUAUAAAAUCAAGAAUUAAUAAAUAAAAUGGACUCAAACUGAAAACCUUCUUCUCAGUAAAAGAAACAAUCAAUGAGGUGAACAGAGAACCUACAUUUUGGGAGAAAAUUUUUGCCAUAUGCAUGUCAGGUAGAGCACUAAUCUCCAGGAUAUAGAAAGAACUCAAAAAACUUAACGCCAAAAAUACAAUCAAUAAAUGGGUAAAAAGCUGAAUAGACACUUAAAAGAUAUACAUUCAAUCAGCAAAUAUAUGAAAAAAUGUUCAACAUCUCUAGUAAUUAGAGAAAUGCAAAUCAAAACUACUCUAAGAUUUCAUGGCAGUUAUCAAGAAUAAAGACACAGUAAGUGUUGGCGAGGAUGUGGGGGAAAAGGCACACUCAUACAUUGCUGGUGGGACUGCAAAUUGGUGCAACCAGUCAGGAAAGCAGUAUGGAGAUUCCUUAGAACCCUUGGAAUGGAACCACCAUUUGACCCAGCUAUCCCACUCCUUGGUUUAUAACCAAAGGACUUAAAAAGAGCAGCUCACAGCAAUGUCAAUGUUUAUAGCAGCUCAAUUCACAAUAGCUUAACGGUGGAAGCAACCUGGGUGCCCUUCAAGAGAUGAAUGGAGAAGGAAACUGUGGUAUACAUACACAGUGGAAUAUUACUCAGCAUGAAAAGAGAAUAAAAUCAUGGCAUUUGCAGGUAAAUGGGUAAAGUUGGAGAAUAUCAUGCUAAGGGAAGUAACCAAUCCCAAAAAACCAAAGGCCAAAUGUUCUCUCUGAUAAGUGGAAGCUGAUACAAAACAGGGAUGGGAGAGGCUGGGAAAAACUGAGGAACUUUUAUUAGGCAAAGGGAAGGGAGGGUAGAGAGGGUUCAGUGGGGCAGGACAGAUGGUGGAAUGAGGUGGACGUCAUUAUCCUAGGUACAUGUGCACAUAUGGUGGGAUGCUACAUGUGCACAACCAGAGAAAUGAAAAGUUGUGCUGCCAUUGUGUACAGUGAAUCAAAUGUAUUCUGCUAUCAUAUAUACCUAACUGAAAUAAAUAAACUAAUUAAAAAAUUUAAAAAGCAAAUGCUGUAUGGCCUCGGCUGCCCAUCUGCGUCCUCAACGCAGAGGCUCCUGUCCGAACGGUCCAGCCAGCACAGAGGUCUGGGCGGCAUGUCAGAUGAGGAGCAGAGAGGGAAACUGAGGAAGCGCAGGCUUAGGAGGAGCGAGAAAGCAC
rnacentral:lncRNA from 1 species